GUGACACUUCGGCUCAACGUACGAAAUGUGUCCUUAUUCGUUUCCAUCGUUGUGUCAUUCACUCUUUUCAAAAUAUCACAGCAGCUUUAGGGGUGACUAUUAUAUUUAUUCACUAAAUCUGUCGGAAUUUAUGUUUUUUUUAAGCUUUCCCUUCGGUUUUUAUCGGUUAACGCUGAAAUUCAUUCAUUCAUUCGUUCGUGCGUUUAGCAAGCCGAACAAGAGCGGUAGUGUAGUUUCGAUUCAUAAAUCCGAUACGUUGCCUUUUUGAUUUUGAUGUUAAGGGGAAAAGCACUGUCUGCAAGGGGAAUGCAUUUAAAAAUUUUCGGAAUUGGGAUUUAUAUAACACCGAGCGUUUAAAUAUAGUUUCCUCUCAUUUAUGUACAAGUAUAUCUAUAUACGAAUGAUGUACGUAACGCGCACAGCUAAACUGCGUUCGGCAAAUGUGGUACAAAUGCAUAGGUAAGUAUAGUAAAUGUGUAUAGUAUAGCAUAACAUACCUAAGUAGUCAGCCGCCAUUUAUUUUCGUCACUUUUUCAUAUUUGUUAUAACUACAUUAUAUUAUACGUACUCGUAUUAUGUCGAAUAGUAAAAUAUGAUGUUUAAAAUAAAAAAAAAUAUAUAUAAAGUGCAGUAUAUUAGUGGUGCCUGGCUUUGGUGGUAAGCAAUAUGGACAAUUGCAACAAGACUGUUGUGUUGGAAGCUCCACCAGUACUCUACCCAUGUAGCCAGGAAAAAGCCGCUGCUAUCUGCCAUUAACACCGAAAAAUGCAACAACUAUGGCGUUAUUUGUUGUGUCGAGACGAAGAUAUUGAUGUAUAGACCCGACAAAAUUUGACGGAAAUCAAAAACGGCUGCGCUACAAAAAAAUAUAGUGCCGACAGUUGAAUUUGGCAAGCUUUCUGUAAUGGGGCUGUAUUUCAUACAAAGGCGUCGCGUAAUUGUGUAAAUUCACACACCGAAUCACCAAAAAGAUUGAUUUUAUUGAACGUGAAAACAGCAAUGAAUUAAUAUACAAGCUGUAUCAGGAUAACGUACAAAAGCACAAACCGCUGCUCUGUCGGACUUGGUUGCAAGUAAAGCGAGUGAUUUGCCAGCUGCAGUAUUUGCUGAACUCGAUGUUUGAUUCACGAAAAUUUACAACUUUUAAAAGUAAAAUAAGUCAAAUCGAACAGGAAUUUUCCUCAGAUGACGAAAAUCAAUCAACACCUAAGAUGCAGUGAGUAGCCUUAUGUUUUAUGCUUAGUGCUGUCACGAUUUUCGUCGACGACAAACGUGUUGACCAAAUUUUCAUGCUUCUGUUUAUUAUUUUAAUUUUUUUCGGAAGAAAAAUCAAAAAUAAAAUAACAGCGGCUCAACACAAACUCGAAAGUUUUUGUUCGUGGCCUAUCUUUUGUCUUGACUUUAUUUUUGUUAUAUUUUUAACUUUUUCUAAUAUUAAACAUAUGCUCUAAUAAUGCUGUAAAAGAAUUAUCAUAAAUACAAUGAAAUUGCUAAUAAAAUUUCAUGUCGACGUUGAUUA